rnacentral:lncRNA from 1 species
UUCCUUUUGCAAUUUUUUGUAAUGAUAUACCACUAUGAUCAUUUGUAAAAGGUUUGAGGUGAGCAAAAGCCUCAGCAGUAGUUGACCGCCUUUCCACAUAACAGGAGGUGACUGCUGAAAGUUUUCAAGUUGAGAUAUUUCAACUUUCUUUUGCAUUUCUUUCUUCUGUCAUUAUGAUUAUGAUUAUCGUUAACGAGUUUGAGAAAAUCAAAAACUUGAACAGUAGGUUGCUGCCUUCCCAAAUAAAUACUUCUGGAAUAAUCUAUUUUGAAAGCACUGCCACAUUAGAGAGUUUAAAUAACGAUACUGCCUAAUUCUGAUAUCUUAAAAAUCACAUAUAUGGUCAUCAACUAUGCACUAUGGAAUAAAUCCUUUGUCAUCAUGACAGCCAAAAUCUCAUACAACCAAACAGAAUCUAUGACAAUCCAAGAUACAAUAAGCUCUCUCUUGCAAAGUUGUUCAAGGACAAGAAUUCUGAAGCUAGUCACUUUCCUAAUGGUCAUGGCCCAUUUGAAGUAUCAACAAGCCAUCAAUUUAGCCCCAAUUCAACCGCAAAAAGACAGCAGUUAAAUUGGCGGAAACAUAUCAAAUCAAUAGCUUCAUAGAAAAGAGCAAAGAAAUCUUUAUUAACAAAUCAAAUGCAUGUUCUGACACCCUCAAAGAAUUUAAGAGUUACCUCAUCAUAAAUAUCAUGUAGAAGUCUUUCACCAUCAAGGGCCUCUUUGAGGCCUUCUUUUCUUGCAGUGAGCCAUGUAGAACGCUCAGAUCCAUCGCCUUUCA